CAAUAGCGUAUAUUUAAGUUGUUGCAGUUAAAAAGCUCGUAGUUGGAUUUCGGAUGGGAUUUGCCGGUCCGUCGUUACGAUGUGCACUGGCCAGUCCUAUCUUGUUGUCGGGGACUAGCUCCUUGGAUUCACUUCCUGGGACUAGGAGCUGACGAGGUUACUUUGAGUAAAUUAGAGUGUUCAAAGCAAGCCUACGCUCUGAAUACAUUAGCAUGGAAUAACACGAUAAGACUCUGGCUUAUCUUGUUGGUCUGUGAGACCAGAGUAAUGAUUAAGAGGGACAGUCGGGGACAUUCGUAUUUCAUUGUCAGAGGUGAAAUUCUUGGAUUUAUGAAAGACGAACUUCUGCGAAAGCAUUUGUCAAGGAUGUUUUCAUUAA
rnacentral:rRNA from 1 species